AAAAACCCUAGAUGCCCAAGAACUCUCAUCUACACAUGACCCUACACCGCCGCCGGACCACCCUAAGCCACCGACGUCCUUCUUCGUCUUCAACAGCCGCUGGACCAGCCCCCCACCACGAACCAGGCGACCCCAAUCGCUGCUUCUUCUUCAGCCUUCAUACCCAUGGCUUCUUCAUCUUCUCCAUGAGAUAUGGCAAUACGAAACCCUAAUAAACCCUACAAAG
rnacentral:lncRNA from 1 species